AGGGCACAUCCCAGCUGAGCCUCUCAGGGGAGGGAUGUGGCUUUGAAAGACACAAUAAAGACUUUUCAGACCACCGAGCGUGGUUUGUGUGGCACCUGAAAAUGUCACCAGGCAAACAGGCUCUGCCUGGCGGGAAUGAAAUGCCUGAAAUGCUGCCUGGGCCCUGCCAGGGGGGUACAAGGCACAGGUUUGGAACCCUUUCAGCCCAAAGAUUAAAGAAACACGUUUCGAAAAAGAGAAAUGGAAAAGAAGCGAAAGCUCAUCCGCUAAACAUGGGGAGGAGGGAAAACCCGGAGGAGAUUUCUGCCGGAGUCCGGAACGGAGUCGGCAAAAGGGAAAACCCAGACAGGAAUCUAGCCAGAGUUUGGAAUGGAGUCGGCAAAAAGGAAAACCCGAACAGGAAUUCAGCCAGAGUCUGGAUUUAUCCCGGCGUCUGGAAGGGACUCGGCAAAAGGGAAAACUAGGACCGGAUUGAUCCAGGAGUCCGGAAUGCACUCGGCAAAAGGCAAAACCCAGACUGGAAGCUCGUCGGAGUCCGGAAUGGAUCCGGCAAAAGGGAAAACCCAGACUAAAUUUCUCCCGGAAUUCGGAAUGGACUCAGCAAAAGGGAAGAUCCUCUUGAGCUUGCAGUUGUUUUGCUCCACUUUUAAUUUUUUUCUAACGUUCUAAGGUAUUAUUCAAUCUCUCAGAGCAUUUUCCAGAAGCAAGAUAUUGUUCAGCAUUGCUUAACACCAUUAGUUUUACAAAGAACAUGACUUCAGCAGAAAGAUUUGAAUUUUUCUAUUGACGUCUUUACUUAGAGGAGGUUCAUGGUGAAGCCGAAUGUAAUGAGAAAUAAAAACAUCUGUAUUUUUGAUACAGCCAAAUCUCUAGAUAAGGAGGCAUGGGAUGAAGACAAAUACCUGUCACAUGGCUGUACUCCUCUGCUGAGUAGAUUUAAAUAUGUUUUACUCUUUUUUUGUCAUUCUUUUUUCACCCCAGACUUGCCUCUUGUCCCAGUCUAUAAACCAUUUUCUAACUGUCCUCUUGCUUCCCAUCCAGAUGAGUAUUUCCAAACCCUCACCUAACACCAGACCUCUUUUAUUUUUAUCAGUCCUCACACCAUCCUAUUUCUCUAACUACAACUCAGUUUAUCCCUUCAAUUUCUGCUUCCCCUUUCCAUUCACAGCUUAUCUUCUUUCUGUAUUUAAUCCUGGUUCUCUUCCCAUUCAGACCCACAUUUCCCAGAUUAUCCCAUCGAGGGUUUGCUGACCCUCCCUGUAGCAAAACAGAAAACAGAAUUCUGUUUUCACCCUUUUGCAUUUGCAGCAGCUCAUUUUCCCUCUCCAUUCAGAAACCCCUUCUACUAGGAACAGGGUCACUGAUCCCAAAGGAGAUCCAAGUUUUUCCCCUAAACCUGCACACACCCUCUCCUGAAGCAUCUAAGAGCAAGAUUACACCAGGGAUUGUUCAUAAUUCAGUUUUUCAAGGAUUUUCUGAGUGUGAGUAAGGAUGUGCAGGAAAAAGAAUAAUAAUUAAACAUCCUGUAAUUUACUUUUUAAAGCUCUUUAGGGCUACAGGUGUAGAGCUUCACGUUACAUGUCCCAGAACAAGCUGAGAUGUCAGUCCAGCACUCGGAGCAUUACUUGGGCUGUUUGCAGGAGCUGCUGAGCACCUUCGGGCAGAACUGGGUAACGUGGUUGGAGAACUGGGAUGUGACCCCGGAGCAGGGACCAUCCUGUGGCUCUGAGCCCAACAGGUUCCUGACACAGAAGGUCUUUGCAAAGUUCUGUGUGAUACAGCUACAUAUCCUUGCUUUGAAUUUUGAUCUUAUAAAGCUGUCAAUAUUAUUCACUUCUUGUGUAGUGACAGGCAAUCACCUCAAACCUGACAAAUAUUGAGUAAUCUACUCAACCUUUUGCCAUUCAGAGGGAAGCUGACAAAUCUUUCUUCUUGGCUAUCUUGUUUGUAACAACUUUUUUGACCAAAGAACAGCACUUUUUCUUCAGACAGCAGAAAUCUCCAUCCCAAACUUCCUGACCAUUCAGUGAGCAAGUCAUCUCUGUGCAGGAACCCACACAGUUUAAAAGCAGCAUAAUUCCCAUUUAUUCCUUCAAACAAUUAUUUUAAAUUCCUCUUGCAGUGAGAGAACAGCCUUAAAAUAGGCUCCAUACUUGAACAUUAGUCCCAGAAAAGCAGAUUCCAGUGAAUUGUGAGGCAUUUCUGUCACCUGGUGCCAAACCCAGCCACUCUGAUGUUAAGGUAAAAACAUCCUGAUUCUGCCCAGCAGGAUAAGGAAAACAUAUUUUGUGUUGCUUACACUCUCAUUGGUUCCUUGCCAAAAAGACAGUGUUUUUAAAACUUUUAAAUUAUUCACUUUUCUAACUUAAGCAUUGCAAUGUUUGUAACCUUUCCAUCCAGUUUCUGGGGAUGCUCUGGUGGUCCAUGGCAGAGGCUGGACCCUGGCAGUCACCUCUUAUUUAAAUUAUGGGAGAAUCCAAAGAAAAGAGAUGUUAAUGAGGAGGGAACAAUCUCUCCAGACACAUUGUUCAUAGCACAUAUUGAUUUCUAGCAUGUCAUGGCAAACAAAAGUUUAACAACUAUAAUUUUAUGAAAACGACAAUUGAACAGCACAUCUGGUGAGAAUUCAUUUAUGCUUUUUACAUUUUUAACAACCUGGCUAUUUUUACUCUCCUCAUCCUCUCAAAGGGAGUGCAAUGUAAUGAAGCAUGGAGCUGGAACUAGGCCACACCUCAGCUGGAAAAUGUCAAAUUCUAUUAUGCCAUCUUCAAAAGCAUAAAUCAUAGCUGCACAUUUUUAAAGGUAUAAAUGAGGGAGGGAACACCAUAAAACAUUUAUUUGAACUCAUGCAAUGUAUUUAUAGUACAGAAUGGUAGAGUAUGGGAUUUAUGUAAUGUAAAAAUAUACCAAACAUUUAAAAGUUGACAUCUAUGAUACACAGUAUCUUCUCUCUGAUGAGAAAUCCCUUUGCGCACUGACCUUUCUUGAAUUUAAUUUUUCUGGACGUCAGCUAACAAACUAACCUGCUCAAUGUUAGUUCUUUUGUCACUUAAAAUCCUUGUUUUAUAUAGGACAAUAAUUUUAAUUGUCUUAAGUUUAAAGAAAUGCUUGAUUUAUAUAAUACCCAGGAAUCUACAUUUCAUUUUUUUUAAAUAUUAAAUUGUACCUUUCAUGCAUUAUUUCCCACGUUUCAUUGCUUAAAUUAUGUAUGGGGAGGAGACUCUGUCUCUUUGGCAGGAGCAGUACCAUAGUUCAUAACUCUUCAAAUAAAUAAAUAGUAUUUACUGAGCAUUUAGGAGGAGGAAGGAAGAUUGUUAUACUCUCUUGCCUUCUCUCACUCUUACUGUUUUCUUGAAUACUCCAUUUAUUCCCAGAGAUUUUAACUGCCUCACUACAGCCACUUUUCUGUGGUUUGGGAGACACUAAACUGUCAGAGGAGCAGAGAUGACCAUCUACUGCUUUGACCAACACUGCUGCCAUGGUGGACAAACCUUUGACUCAGACAUUUAAACACAGAUUAAAUGGAGGACAGAUUAAAGGGGAGGACAGGUUGAGGAUACUCCUGAGCCUGUUUUGCUGAGGAUUUGCAUUCCAGAAUCUCACACCUGGCUGCUGAACACACAGGUCCCUGUGUCACAUUGCUGGAAGCCAUCCAAGCAGUGACAGGGGUUUCUGUUCCACAUUGAUUCAUUCAUCUGGAAUUCCUAAUCCUGGAUCUGAAGGUGAAGGCAGUGCAGGCUGUUUGCUCAGAACUGUCUCAGGUCACCCUUGGAUGGGAUGGGGCAGGAGGGAAAAGUGAAUUUUCUCUACUCAGUGAUACACACAUCAACCUGUAUAAAUACAUAAACUACCUGAUCUUUUCAUUUUCUUCACUGAGUAGACCAUAUAGUUUUUUACUGCUUUUAGGAGAAAGCUCUUGAUCCUAACAAUGCUGAUGCCAUUUAACUUUAUUUUGUAUCAUUUGUUACCAGCUUAUAUUUCCACACUGUUCUUGUGCAGUAGAUAUUUCAGUAUUGAACAUUUGAAAUCUUAUCUACCAUUCUGUUCUGACUGAUUUAAUCUCCUUGGCUUUAAAUUGUCUGUCUGAAAUCACUGCAGAAUGGAUCAAGAGGGGAACACUCAGCUCAUCUUAGAAGGAGGUUAAGAUGCUAUUCUUGAGUUAUUCUUAAGAGUUCUUAACCUGUUCUUAAAAUUUUAAGGAGCUUUUCUUAGACUGAAGUAUUGCAAGGAGUAAGUUGAAGAUUUAAAGGUGAUAAAAUAGUUUAAGAAUAUUAUGGAUUGUCUUGCACCGCCUCAGUAGUGAUUUCUUGCCCUUCCUGACCACUUCAGUCUGGGCAACACAGCCCUGUGCCACAGCCACUCUGGAAAGCAGGUGAUGAACCAGACUAGCUUUAAAAAAAUGAUGAAGAAUUUGAAGGAAAAAAAAAAAAAAGUAAAAAAUAAAAGUCAGGGCAUGAGCAGCUGGAAGGGAAGGCUGUUCCCUGGCAGCAGGGACUGAGCAAAGGGCAGACAACACCCAGUGCAGUCAGUAAAGGGUUAAUGUUCAGCGGCUCUGCUCAGCCCUGGACAGACACAUUCUCACUAAUUUCCAGCCUUCCUCUCUAACACUUAGCUUAGAACUCAGCAGAAACCGUUUGGGUUGUGUUGUUGUUGUUGUUGUUUUGGGGGUUUUUUGUUGGGUUUUUUUUUUUUUUUUUGAGUAGACAUUUGGCAACUUGUGAAGUGUCAGAUGAGCACUGGUGAAUUUGAGAACUGGGGUGAACGUUUGUGUCAGGGAAGGAAAAAAUCUUCACAGCAGAAUGCACCCUCUAACCUGAGAGUGGAGGCACCUGAAAGACAGUAACUUUAUUCUGUUCCAAUUACAUUAAAAGCCAAAUCCUGCACUGCUGACGCUUUACAGACUUUACAACUAUUGAAAUCUGGUUUAAGGGACUGGCUGCACACUGGAGACUUAGUCAGUAUAAACUGAAGGUGGUGAGGGUUUAAACUGGGGCCUAAAUAUAAUUUACCAUGAGACAUUAUGGCUGAAAAUUCCUAUUUAAGUGCCAGCAAGGCAGUGAGAGCAGUCUGUAGGAUCCAGGAAAGCAGGAUUCCUGCUGGGGUGUCCUGUCCAGCAUCAAGGCUGUGGAAGUCAAGGCAGUGAGGGCUCUCCUGCCUUGGUUCCUGGGGUGCAGUCCCAAAAAAUGCCCAGGUCCAACUGUUCAGCCUCCCUGAUUUUUUCUAACCCCCCUGGUCCCUUCUCUAUGGAUUCUCAUCUACAUGAUAAAACACUUCAUAAAUCUAAAACAUAAUUUACUGGACUAUUGUUAGGGAAUUUUAGAUUUAUCAUCACUCCUACUAAUUCCAUUUAAUCUAUUAAUUUACCUUCUAUUAAUUUAUCACAGCUUUCUGGGUUGGCUGGGUUUUUUCCCUGCUCAUCUGCGAGGUGUUGGAUGCUGACAGUGACGGAAACCUCACAGGAAGCAUUGACAAGGUCUGAAAAAUAAUUCUGGAGCCCUUGUGUUGCUAAGGAAGUUUCAUCAGUAGAACCAACGAUUUGAGAUUGUUUUCUCAGCAGAGCAUGAGAUAAAUGAGAACUAUUUCCAGAUUCAGUAAUUUUGAAAUCUGAAGGAACGAUCUUAUCAGUUUGCUGGCCACCCUGAACGGAAUGCAUCAAAAAAGAUUAAUAGGGAACAGGGAUACCUGUUUUCUUUCAAAGCAAAAAAAGCCCUGCAAAAAUAUUUUAUGGAGCAGUUUUUACCUACUUCACUUUGCAUUAAAUAUAAAAUCUAUAUGUUCUGUAUAACUAGCUUUUCAUUCUCCACUGCUGGGAUAAGAAAAUUGGUAAACUAAAAGAAAAACAGGUGAAAUUCAUUACAUUAGAAAAGAAGAUUCUCUAUGAGGUCUGAGCUGCUGGAAUAUUUAAUGUGGCAUCCUCCAAAAUUUUCCCAGUGGGUAAAGGAAUCUCUCAGGAAAACUUUGUUUACACAGUUUAACCUAAGAUGCAUCUGUAUGGAGAAAAGAAGGAUUUUUUUUUUUUCCGUCAGCUACAAAAUUUGACUGUUUUGAAAUCCCCCAUCCUCAGGUGUAUGACAAAAAAUGUUAAGACUAAUAAAGAUAAAUAACGUGACUGCAAAAACCCAUGUCCAAAUACAAACAAAAGAGCAACUUCUGUUUGUUGAAUCUCUUCCCUAUGUAGCAAGCCCUGGCUAUUUUAAUAAAUAUGAAAUAUUCCAAUUCCAUAGGAUCAGGCCUGGGCCCAAGAGUGGCAGGUGAUCUGUUCCUGGGGCUCCAGCAUUCCUGAGCCAUCCGAGGGGAAUACAUGACACAAAUCUGUGCAGCUCAAUUUAAUGUGCCUGGUUAAACGAGCACAAACAUUCCUGUGCAGCGCAUUUGCAGCACGCAGACAUUUGUGUCACAGUAUCCCUGCUCAGGAUAUAUUUGGAAGAUAAUUGGAGGGGAUGAAACCUUUUAAAGGGAUCAUUAGAAUGUGUAGAAUACUUCUGAAACAAAGAAACAAAAAUCUGCUUUUUUUAAAGUUAGUUUAACUGAGCUACUUCCAGACAAAAGCAUAUUCUGGUAAUGAUAGUUGUUGAGUGAUGAAAACUGUAUUUCACUUAAGAAUCUAUUCUUUUUAUUAGAAUUGUAAUCCUUAAUUUUUACUUCAAUACUAGGAGUCAUAAUCCUAUUUUAACAGCAAUUAAUCUGGUGUUCAUUUACCACUGAGCAAUUUUCAAAGUGCAUUUGACUGAGCUACAAAUAAAACCUCUCCAAGUUCAAAA
ensembl:lncRNA uncharacterized LOC115495208